UACGUAGGGCGCGAGCGUUGUCCGGAUUUAUUGGGCGUAAAGAGCUCGUAGGCGGCUUGUCGCGUCGACUGUGAAAUCCCGCGGCUCAACUGCGGGUCUGCAGUCGAUACGGGCAGGCUAGAGUUCGGUAGGGGAGACUGGAAUUCCUGGUGUAGCGGUGAAAUGCGCAGAUAUCGGGAGGAACACCAGUGGCGAAGGCGGCACUCUGGGCCGGAACUGACGCUGAGGAGCGAAAGCGUGGGUAGCAAACAGG
rnacentral:rRNA from 1 species